GCGCGGACCAUUGUUCAUUUCCACGGCCAGUUUAUCGAAGAUCAGGUUGCUGCACGCACAGUGCCGGGCCGACUGUUCAGCGCGAUUGCCAACCAAGCCGAUUGCGUCGUCGCGCUGGGUAAGGUCCAUGCAAGCGCCUUCGAGCGGAUCGGCGUUGAGCGCGAGCGGAUCGCGAUCGUUCCCAACGGAAUUCCGGAUUUCGCAGCCGAUCUUUCGCUGCCCAAGCAGGACACCGGCUCGCUGGCAAUCCUGUU
rnacentral:misc_RNA from 1 species